GAUGAACGCUAGCGGCAGGCUUAACACAUGCAAGUCGAGGGGUAGAGUAGCAAUACUUGAGACCGGCGCACGGGUGCGUAACGCGUAUGCAAUCUACCUUUUACAGAGGGAUAGCCCAGAGAAAUUUGGAUUAAUACCUCAUAGUAUUACGACCUGGCAUCAGGAUGUAAUUAAAGUCACAACGGUAAAAGAUGAGCAUGCGUCCCAUUAGCUAGUUGGUAAGGUAACGGCUUACCAAGGCUACGAUGGGUAGGGGUCCUGAGAGGGAGAUCCCCCCACACUGGUACUGAGACACGGACCAGACUCCUACGGGAGGCAGCAGUGAGGAAUAUUGGACAAUGGGCGCAAGCCUGAUCCAGCCAUGCCGCGUGCAGGAUGACGGUCC
rnacentral:rRNA from 1 species